rnacentral:lncRNA from 1 species
CCCCCACUGCACCCCCCCACCCCCCCCCCACACGCCUGGGACCUUACUGAUGGAGCCGCCAUAUUGGGUCACACAGGGACACACGGGCCUUUCACUCAGCGUCCCCUUCGAACGACACAGCGCAACAAUCCCACACCGGGUAUUGUUCUACGUGCUACGUUCUACGAAUAAUGAAAUCCCAACCCUCGGGGAGCUCCUAUUCCAAGCUCUACUCCCCACAGGGAAGGGGAGGGGAGGGGAGGGGAGGGGAGGGGACCGCUAAACAAAUACAACAUCAGUUGGUGAUGAAUGUGAAGAAGGAUAGAGUAGGAACAGGGGGGGAGGGGGCAGGCCGGCCUUUUUUUUUUUUUUUUUUAAAUAUGCUGGAAAAGGUCUCCUAAAAGAUAAUAGGGGGAAAGACGUAAAGCAGUAAGCCCCGUUAACGUCUGGUAUAAACAGCCCCGGGGGAGGGAACUGCAGGUUCAAAGCAUUCUGCUGUUGGAAUCAAUAAAUAACCCGGUCUUUUUCUCCCUCUACCUUCUGAUCUUCCUCCUCCACCGACUCAACUCCACUCCACUGGAGGCCAGAGAGCAAAGACAGAGUAGCUGGAAGGGGCAGGCAGCGAAGCACGGCUGGUCCAGAGAGCACGUGGAGACACGGAAACGGGGUUCGGUGCCCGUCUGUCCCAUAGCAGGGUCUCGCAGGAGCUGGUACGUGUGGAGACGACUAUGAAGCCUCAUAGAUUCAGCUUCCGGUGACACUCGGUCCUAGCAUUGGUCCCUGCCGGGCGGUGCAGCAGUCAGAUGCAUGGACCAACCAUCUCAUGUGCAGCAAAAGCAGAAAUCCAACCUGUGACAUCUCCCAGUGGGACUUCUCAGUCUGCAGCCGCAGCCAUGGAGACGGUUGCAGCCUCAACAAGACUGUUUUCUCCAUGCCCAGCGUGGACACGGAUGAGCAUUUUCAUGGGAAACCACCUGUGCAGAGUGACUGAGCCCAGAAUGGACAUCACCAGCCCCUCAUCAGCUAUUACCCAGUUCUGUGCCAGCUCCUCGGCCAUUCUUCUAAAGUUUCCUGGACCGUGGGUAGAGCUCCUGAGCUCCUCUGUGCAGAGCCCCCUCACCACCAUCUACAGAUGUCAAGGAACCUGGCCCUGUGAACCAGCACCUACCCUUUACAGUGGGGACCACAAAACCCCAGAGAGGGGUCUUGUUCACAGUCUCAAAGCAUUGGAUGGGCUAACUGCACCUCAAAGACAGGAAGUUGCCUCUGCUGGCAGGAACUUUGAGAUCGAGGAGAAGAGAGGCCUGCUUCUAGGGUCUGAGCCAGCCCGAGGGGUCCCCGGGCUUUGCCAGCAAGAACCAGGAACUGAACACCAGAGGCCCGGGGUGCAAAGAAACAUAUCAGCACAUCCCUACCACUUGCAUUGGGGGCGGCUCUAGUAGGUGAAGGAAGAAAGCCACCGUUUCGGGGCCACGAUGUGCAUCACCCGUCCCUUCCAGGACAUGCGGGCUUGGGCAAACUCCUUACCCCCAUUUUACAGCUGAGAAAAAGGCUGAGAAGCUAAGCCGUUCCUGCCCAUUUUCUAGCAUCAUACUGAGGAAGGGGCUCUGAAUUACAGCUUUCAUGAAGGACGGGUUUUCUCAGCAACCUGGUAUCCAUCUGGAACUCUGAGGUUGACCAACUACAGAAGGAGGGGCCUCCUUCCCCAAGCAGGGAGGUCUUUUAUCUCUAUGUCCUAAGGAGUCCUCGCUCCAGACAUCUAACAAGUGCUUUCUGUGUGAACAUCCAGUUGCCUGGCCUCUGUUUUGGGGAUGCUCACAAAGACCACCCAUGAUCAUUAUUAGCAAGGAAAGAUACAGGGCUGAGGGCCAGGCAGGUGCAGGCUUGAAUAUUCUUUCCCUUAGGAGCCUGGUGACUGUAGGGGUGGGACUUCACCUCCCUGAACCUU